rnacentral:sRNA from 1 species
UUUUGUUUUUGUAAGAUUCGUGGUUUCUCGAUUUCAUGAAAAUGACUCAAUGAUUUCGUCCUUUCUAUAGUAUUUUGGGUUUUAAAGUCAACUAGUUGACUUCAAAACCCAAACUUAACGUCCAUAUAUAUACACAUACACAGUACUGUAUUAUGUGUAUAUAUAUGGACGUUAAGUUUUUGAAAAUAAGAGAUAUAUAGGGCUUACGAAGCCAAUAUCUAGAUAAGUGAUAUCGGAACAAAAAUCAAUCACAAAAUAUCUACCAAGAGAUGUCAUAUGUGAUACGUAUUAACUUUAUAUACAUAUGAUUAGUUCCAUGAAUU